GUCUUUGAACGCAAGUUGCGCCCGAAGCCAUUAGGCUGAGGGCACGCCUGCCUGGGUGUCACAAAUCGUUGCCCCAACGCCAAUGCCCGACCAAAAAGGGUGUUGACGGGGCGAAUGUUGACCUCCCGCGAGCAAUGUCUUGCGGUUGGUUGAAAAGCGAGUCCUUCGUGGAGAGCCCCAUGAUAAAUGGUGGAUGAGUAACACUCGAGACCAAUCACGGGCGGCCUUUCCUCGUGCACGACUCACGUGACCCGUGCGUUCUUUCGAACGCUCAUAACGAGACCUCAGGUCAGACGGGGCUACCCGCUGAGUUUAAGCAUAUCAAUAAGCGGAGGAAAAGAAACUAACAAGGAUUCCCUUAGUAACGGCGAGCGAACCGGGAAGAGCCCACCAUGAGAAUCGGUUGCCUUUGGCGUCCGAAUUG
rnacentral:rRNA from 1 species